AGGGGCUUAGGCUAGUACUUAAGACCAAGAGCCUUCAAAGCCCUAAGCGUGAGUGAAAAUCUCUCAGCCCCUA
rnacentral:tRNA from 1 species